AGCCGGGAUUGCCUUAGUACGGCGAGUGAAGCGGCAAAAGCUCAAAUUUGAAAUCUGGUACCUUCGGUGCCCGAGUUGUAAUUUGGAGAGGGCAACUUUGGGGCCGUUCCUUGUCUAUGUUCCUUGGAACAGGACGUCAUAGAGGGUGAGAAUCCCGUGUGGCGAGGAGUGCGGUUCUUUGUAAAGUGCCUUCGAAGAGUCGAGUUGUUUGGGAAUGCAGCUCUAAGUGGGUGGUAAAUUCCAUCUAAAGCUAAAUAUUGGCGAGAGACCGAUAGCGAACAAGUACAGUGAUGGAAAGAUGAAAAGAACUUUGAAAAGAGAGUGAAAAAGUACGUGAAAUUGUUGAAAGGGAAGGGCAUUUGAUCAGACAUGGUGUUUUGUGCCCUCUGCUCCUUGUGGGUAGGGGAAUCUCGCAUUUCACUGGGCCAGCAUCAGUUUUGGUGGC
rnacentral:rRNA from 1 species